ensembl:lncRNA
GUUUGUGGCUCUUCAUGGGCUGGUAAAUAUUUGGCCUGUCUCUGUUCUUUCACACAGAAGGACAGCGCUCCCGAUCCGGGUCUGUGCAUGGAUGUCCCAGCUGUUAGAAGCAGGGAUCCACUGGGGGUCCAUGAAGGCUUUUCUCGAAGCAGCCCGGUGUGAGGGCCACAAAGGCAGAUUUGGGGUCCAGAUAUGCUAGAGUUGGGCUUCCCUGGUGGCUCAGACGGUAAAGAAUCUGCCUGCAAUGCGGCAGACCUGGGUUCAAUCCCUGGGGUGGGAAGAUCCCCUGGAGGAGGGCAUGGCAACCCCCUCCAGUAUUCUUGCCUGGAGAAUCCCCAUGGACAGAGGAGCCUGGCGGCGGAGAGUUGGAGUCCUCCUAACUGCUGCUUGCCAGCUGGGUAGCCUUUGGCAAGUAACUUCUCUGUGCCCAUUUCUUCUGUUGUACACGAGGGUUCUGAGACCUCCCUUGUAACACUGUGAUGAGGCUUAUGUGAAAAGUGCAGGCAGAGUGCCUGGCACAUACCAGUAGACCUUUGAGAGUCUCUCUUAUUUUGAAUAAGCCCAUGGCUUUGGGCAAGUCACUUAACCCACUGGGAACAGCAGCUUUGUAAUCCUAAAGCGGGGUGAUAUCUGGGACCCCUUCCCAUCGGAGCCUAUUAUCCAUCAACCACAUGCCAGGGCCUGGGCCAGGCUGGGGAGACAACGGUGGGUAAGAUAGUCAUGGCCCCUCCUGCCCACUCCUGUCUGUACCCCAGCUCUGAGAGCAGAUGAGGGGUAUGGUGUGUCCUCUUAUUAUAGCUGAGGCUGCAACUCUGAGGCGCAAGACUCCCCCAGGAUCUCACAACUGCCUUUGGUGCUGAGGGAGCAGAAGCCCAGCCUUCUAGGUGCAAUAGAGCCUCCUGGGUGGGAGCCAGCCCCCAGUGAGCUGUCAACAGGGAGGUGGGUGGGUCUGCUUCCUUAAAGGAACCCUGGGUGUGCAGAAGUGGCCACCUCACACAUCUACUCUGCCAUGCGUCCAGCCUGAAAGGUCCCAAGAAGGCCCCCAGGAAAGGCGAAUUGCCACAACUGCUCUUGGCCUGCUCACUCACUGACCAUCUUGGCCAUCUUGACCAACUUGGCCAGCCUGAUGCACUCUAGUGGGACUAGUCGAAUAGGGUGCAGAAUCGAGGGGUUGGGGGAGGGGAAGGAAAUACUUUGAUAUUCCAAAAAGUGCUGCAGAGUAAUCAGCAUGGGAAGUUAAAACAUCAGGAUUUCCUUGGACUUCCUUAUGCUUUUUUAUGGCCUUGUUGUUUCAGUUGCUUUGUGACCCCGUGGACUGUAGCCCACCAGGCUCCUCUGUCCAUGGGAUUUCCCAGACAAGAGUACUGGAGUGGGUUGCCAUUUCCUUCUCCAGGGGAUCUUCCCCACCCAGGGAUCAAACCCACUCUCUCUUGCAUUGGCAGGCAGAUUCUUUACCGCUGAGCCACCAGGAAAAGCCCUUUUUAUGGCUUUGUGGUGUUUUUAUUCUGCAUUUCAAACUGGAGGUUGAAGUAGACCCUAAUCCCUCCAGCCCAGGGCAGUGGGCAGGGUUUGCGGGGACACCAGGCAGGUGACUUCUCACCCACUGAGCGCUCCCUCCCACCGCCCCCUCCUCCCCUCUGGCAGGCUCUGGGGAAUUUUGAAAUUGCCCUGGAGCCAGACCCCUUGUGUUGGCUGCCUAGGAGGACUGGGGAAGGAGGUGCUAUGUGGAAAGAACCAUUGCCUGAUUUUAAUCUCAGUUCUGCCACUCUGGGUCUGAGAUCCCCCUUUCUCUGUCAAGUGGGGUCUGCACCGAAUACAGCGCAUACCCUGUGUAGCCUAAACAACCUAAGGUCUGUAGCCCAGAGGCAGCCUGCCCGGAGGUGCUGAAGGCAGGCAUUGGGGAAAGGGCGAUAGCUUGCAGGCUCUCCCCUGGGCUAGCUGGGUGACCUUGGACCCGUGACUUGCCUUCCUGGGACUGUUUCCCCAUCAGUGAUGAUACAUGUCCGCUCUGUAGUCCAAUACAGGGGUCACAUGAGGAGGCCUGGGUGAAACGCCAGGCUCGUGGCGGGGGACUGGUG